rnacentral:misc_RNA from 1 species
UCUAAAAGGACAUUUUGUUCUGCGG